UGGCAAAGUGGGCUGCUGUUCGGGUGGCUUGUACGCCCGGCACGGCCGUUAAGCCUUGACGAGUAAGAGGAGCGCGGCGGUGUAGCGCAGAAGGGUCUGGGCGUGAGCCUGCCUGGAGCCGCCGUCGGUGCAGAUCUUGGUGGUAGUAGCAAAUACUCUAGCGAGGGCCUGGAGGACUGACGUGGAGAAGGGUUUCUUGUGAACAGCCGUUGCACAAGAGUCAGUCGAUCCUAAGCCCUAGGAGAAAUCCGAUGUCGAUGGGUAGCAAUGCAUUGCGCUUUCAUGUUUUGAAGCAUAUACUAAAUCAUUUUAGUUUUGCGUCAAUUUCCGCUGCACUUGCGCUCGCGACGGGCGAAAGGGAAUCCGGUUCCUAUUCCGGAACCCGGCUUCGUGAUACGCUUUCUUUGAGCUAUAUGCUCAGGGAUGGCCCGCAGGGUAACCUAACACGACCCGGAGACGCCGGCGGGAGGUCUAGGAAGAGUUGUCUUCUCUCUGUAAGCGUUCGAGUUCCCUGGAAUCCUAUAGCAGGGAGAUAGGGUUUGGAACGCAAAGAGCACCGCAGUUGCGGCGGUGUCUGGACUUUCCCCCCGGACCUUGAAAAUCCGGGCGAGGGCUACGCGAAAGUCGAAGCCGGCUCGUACCCAUAUCCGCAGCAGGUCUCCUAGGUUAAGAGCCUCUAGUCGAUAGAAUAAUGUAGGUAAGGGAAGUCGGCAAAUUGGAUCCGUAACUUCGGAACAAGGAUUGGCUCUGAGGAUCGGGGCGUGUCGGGCUUGGUCGGGAAGCGGGUCUGCGCCAAUGGCCGGGCCUGGAUGAGGGGUAACGGGGUCGACGGAGAAAUCCGUUUGAUUUACCGGGAUCCUCGUUUGGUCUCGCGCCUUGGCCUCCCGCGGAUCUUCCUUGCUAUUGUAUGGAGCGUUGGUACCUAUGUAGUGUCAGUGUUGGUGGUUCGCUAUCACGCUGCGCUUGGUCCUCGUUCUUUUUUCGGCCGUCAUCAAACGAUCAGCUCAGAACUGGCACGGACCAGGGGAAUCCGACUGUCUAAUUAAAGCAAAGCAUUGCGAUGGCCCCCGCGGGUGUUUACGCAAUGUGAUUUCUGCCCAGUGCUCUGAAUGUCAACGUGAAGAAAUUCAAGCAAGCGCGGGUAAACGGCGGGAGUAACUAUGACUCUCUUAAGGUAGCCAAAUGCCUCGUCAUCUAAUUAGUGACGCGCAUGAAUGGAUUAACGAGAUUCCCUCUGUCCCUAUCUACUUUCUAGCGAAACCACAGCCAAGGGAACGGGCUUGGAAACAUCAGCGGGGAAAGAAGACCCUGUUGAGCUUGACUCUAGUCUGGCACUGUAAGGAGACAUGAGAGGUGUAGCAUAAGUGGGAGGCGUGUGCGGUUUACCGUCGCGUCAACGUUGAAAUACCACUACUUUCAUCGUUUCAUUACUUACUCGGUCGGGCGGAAAGCGCGUUCGUUGAGGGCAUUCGCUCCAGCGGAAGGCAUUUUCUCGCUUCAAGCGACCGAGGGCUGUCGGAGGCCGGGUGUGCGCCGUUCAAGAGGGAAUUCGAAAACCUGCAAGGGUCUACGAUGGUACCAAUUGGGCGUGUGCCGCUCGUGUUCGUCCGGCAAACACUCCCUCGCGUGAUCCGAUUCGAGGACACAGCCAGGCGGGGAGUUUGACUGGGGCGGUACAUCUGUCAAACGAUAACGCAGGUGUCCUAAGGCCAGCUCAGCGAGGACAGAAACCUCGCGUAGAGCAAAAGGGCAAAUGCUGGCUUGACCCCGAUGUCCAGUACGCAUAGGGGCUGCGAAAGCAGGGCCUGUCGAUCCUCUUGGCUUGAAGAGAUUUCAUCAAGAGGUGUCAGAAAAGUUACCACAGGGAUAACUGGCUCGUGGCGGCCAAGCGUUCAUAG
rnacentral:rRNA from 1 species